rnacentral:tRNA from 1 species
GGGUCAUGGAAGACCAAUAUUGAUUUCUAAUCAAAUAUAAAGACAAUGUAGCGAUUGUCUAUGGCCCU